rnacentral:rRNA from 1 species
CUACGGGACGCUGCAGUGAGGAAUUUUGCGCAAUGGGGGCAACCCUGACGCAGCAACGCCGCGUGAGUGAAGAAGGCCUUUGGGUCGUAAAGCUCUGUCGACAGGGAAGAAGUUGGCGUAGUUUAACAGACCAUGGCAUUGACGGUACCUGUGGAGGAAGCAUCGGCUAACUCCGUGCCAGCAGCCGCGGUAAUACGGGGGAUGCAAGCGUUAUUCGGAAUCAUUGGGCGUAAAGGGCGCGCAGGCGGUCCUGCCAGUCAGAUGUGAAAGCCCGGGGCUCAACCCCGGACGUGCAUUUGAAACAGCAGGACUUGAGUACGGGAGAGGAAAGCGGAAUUCCUGGUGUAGAGGUGAAAUUCGUAGAUAUCAGGAGGAACACCGGUGGCGAAGGCGGCUUUCUGGACCGAUACUGACGCUGAGGCGCGAAGGCGUGGGUAGCGAACAGGAUUAGAUACCCUGGUAGUC